rnacentral:tRNA from 1 species
UAUUCAACUAUUAAAA